rnacentral:lncRNA from 1 species
GGCAUGUGGGGUAAAGCUGCUACUUCUCUUAACUCACUUUGCUUUGGUUUGUCUCAUCUGCUAAAUGUGCACAAGCUAGGAAAGGAUUUCCAGGUGCAAUAUUCUGUCAAUGCAGUCUCAGGACUUCCUUAGAGUCAUGGUAUGCUCUGGAUGAAGGAGGUGCAUGCUCUGCUGCCAUUGCUGUCCGUGCUCCUGGAGCAAUCUGUGCCCUUACUGAGGCUGCCAAGGCGAGGACUGAACAUUUCCCUGCUUCCUCAUCGUGUCCUAAUGAUUUGCACAUUCCUCUUAGCAACUGCAGUGAAGAUUUUAAUGUAGCAAAGCCACAGUUUUUAUAUGUAGCAAUUACAUAUUUUGUCCUAUAUUUUACAGCAAAUACUGGCAGCUGCUUACGAAGGAGUGGUGAAGGAAUGCAGUCCGGCUGCCUACCACUACCCACAAGAGAGAAAAGGACCCUCCAGAACUCCUGGCACCUCUUCUUUGUAUAACUGAAGGGCAAUUAGUUUUACCUACUCUUCCCAACAUCCCCUGACUGUACCUGUGGGAAAUCUGUGAGCCACCAGCCUUCUGCCUAGCAGUGAACAUGGCACCCCAAAUGUUCCAGGACAAAGCUGCCAUUCCAUUUUUUGCCUCAUGUCCCCCUGCCUCAUCCCAGCCCUUCCAGCAGUGCUGCCUCUUCCUAGGACGGAAAGAAGAGAGGUGGGAAGAGGAGAAGAAGAGCUAGAAAUGCCAUCCUACGGACCAGCUUCAGACAGUAGCUGGGUUUUGAUAUAGAAUGGGUAUGAACUUGGUCUUAGAAGUAACAAAUGUGGCACCCUAAAUCAAUGGAGGCUGUUUAAUCCACAUGUAACUCAUUCUCCUGCCAGCACACACGUGUAAGAUCCUCUCUGUCCUUCCAUAUCUACAAGAUAUUCUGUUCUUGCCUUUCUAGCUUUAUCACUUAGACAGUUAUUAAAGUGAUCAGUACUCUGGCAAUGCUCACAAGGAAGAGAGCCUUUCCUUGUCUUCUUGUUUCGCAAGGCACAAAAUAUUGGCCACAUUAGAGACGAGAAAGAAAUAGUGAACAGCAGCUUGUAUGAUAAUCACCAUUCAUUCUGUGUGCUGUAUGAGGCCUUAUGGAAAAUGCCACGUACACAGGUAGUUAAAACUAUAUUGUUGUAUAUGCCUAAAUAUGACUGUUAGCAAUUCUUUCAAAAUGGUGUGGUAGAAAGGUUCUUGGCCUCAUGAUGAGGCUCAAUAUUGUAGGGACAAUCCCAUGUCAUCCCCAGCAUGUAGAGAAAUACCCUUACAUAACAAAAUAUAUUCUGGUUAAAUACACAACCAACAAUAUUUAAAAAUAAUAAUUAAAAUACUACAAUGUAAUGAAUAUAUUUGCAAGUAUUGGCAUGAUAAAAGAUAGUUGAAUAUCUUUCAUGCUUUGAAGGGCUCUCCUUUGUUACAGAUUAAAAUAAAUCAGCAGUGCUCUCUCUAUUCCUUGCA